rnacentral:rRNA from 1 species
GACGAACGCUGGCGGCGUGCUUAACACAUGCAAGUCGAACGGAAAGGCCUCUUUCGGGGGGUACUCGAGUGGCGAACGGGUGAGUAACACGUGAGUAACCUGCACUUGACGUUGGGAUAACUUCAGGAAACUGGGGCUAAUACCGGAUAGGAGCUCCUGCUGCAUGGUGGGGGUUGGAAAGUUUCGGCGGUUGGGGGUGGACUCGCGGCUUAUCAGCUUGUUGGUGGGGUAGUGGCUUACCAAGGCUUUGACGGGUAGCCGGCCUGAGAGGGUGACCGGCCACAUUGGGACUGAGAUACGGCCCAGACUCCGACGGGAGGCAGCAGUGGGGAAUAUUGCACAAUGGGUGGAAGCCUGAUGCAGCAACGCCGUGUGCGGGAUGACGGCCUUCGGGUUGUGAACCGCUUUCGCUCAUGACGAAGCUUUGUGUGACGGUAGUGGGUAAAGAAGCACCGGCUAACUACGUG